GGGAUUUUCUUGAAGCUUUCUAUCAUGGAUCUAAUUUCCAUAUAUUAUAAUUAUUACCACUUAGUAAGCACCAAGUGUUUGGCAGGCACUGUGCAAAAUUCUACACAAAUACCACUGUGUUGAAGAGAAUAACAGGAGGUAGAUAAUAGAUGCCUAUAUUAUCCUGAGGAAAUUGGGGCAUAGAAAUUUGCCCAAAUAAAUGUAUAGUCAGGACUCAAACCCAGGUGAGUCUGAUGCCAAAGUCUAUAUUCCUAAGCACUGUGCCAGAUGACUUCCUCUCUGGCAAGAAAGGAAACAUUGCUAGUUUCAUAAAUCACUCCUCCUAUGGGUUCAAUGUCAUGCACUUUACAAAUAUUCAGAUAAAUUCCACCUCCCUCACUCCUACCUAUCAGCAACAGAGGAAAUGUAUAAAAAUAUCCAGCCACAUUUGUCAAACAUGAUCUGUUUUUCAUGAGUGCAGUAGAGACGCAGUAGAUUUCCACUGAUAUCAGCUGAGGAAAUAAUCAAUUCGGCUGCAAACUCACCUUGCACUUAAUGUCAUUCAUUUGCCCUUGUAGAUGAUUUAAUAGGCUUUCUGGGGACCUAAACAUUCAUACUAUAAAAGGCCAAUAUUAAGAGAUGUGAGAAUUGUGCUAGAAAGCUUAGACUUUUUGAAAGCAGUAGAAUGUCUUUAUGCCUGUGUGAACUGGGUGACUUAGUUAAUAGGGCAUGAGUUUUAGGGACUUCAACCGGACCUAAAAUGCUAAGAGGCAUGAGCUCUUGGGUAAAGAAGAGGCCAUGCCUCACUGAAAGGAUGAGAUCUCAAAGAAGGGGAAGAAAAAGAAGAUUGGCAACAGAUGUUAGCUCAGGUGCCAAUCUUAAUAGAAAAAAAUAGAUAUAUAAAGAAUUAAUCUAAAGAAAAAUUAAUAACAAUUCUUCACAAACUCUUCCAAAGAAUAGAAGAUGAGGGAACAAUUUCAACUCAUUCUAUGAGGCCAGUACAACCCUUGAUACUAAAUCCACACAAGACAGCACAAGAAAACUACAGACCAAUAUCUCUCAUGAACAUACACACAAAAACCUUCAACAAAGUACUAGCAAACUAAAUGCAGUACCAUACAAAAAUGAUUCACCGUGACCAGGUGAGAUUUAUCUCAGGAAUGUAAGGUUGCUUUAACAUCCCCAAAUCAAUGUAAUAUACCAUAUCAGUAGAAUAAAAAACAAAAACCACAUGAUUAUUUCAAUAGACAGGGAAAAAGUAUUUGAUAAAAUCUUGGGGCCAGCUGGUGGCACAGUGGUUAAGCGUGCACGUUCCACUUCAGCGGCCUGGGGUUGGCCAGUUCAGAUCCCGGGUGCAGACAUGGCACCGGAAGUAGAGGAAGAGGGGCACGGAUG
rnacentral:lncRNA from 1 species